UAAUUAUUUCAAAAACAAAAACUUUGUUCCAACUUUGACAGCACAGAUAUUAAACUGCUAAACUUCCAAAAAAAACAACAAUCUAUUGUCUUUUUAAAGUUCAUUUUUGUUGCAAGUUAGAAUUAUUUGACCUUCAUGUACAACAAAAUUCAAUAUUGUUAAUAUUUGAUAUAUUUCUAAUGGCACAGGUUGUCUUAAAGCAAAUAUCUAUUUAUAUUUGAAUUAUCAGUAGACAGAAACUGGACCAACACUGAAAUAUAUCUUGUAGAUUUGCUAAUAUUUAGAACAACGGAACCUAAUGCAACAAAACCCUUUUCUUUUUUUAUUUGCACAAAUCUGAUCUGAAGACUUAAACCAAAACCUUACCAGAGAUUAACAAAAUGGUGACAGAAGAGGGAUUAUUAAAAUACAUUAGGUAGCACCACAUGGCAGUGACCUUUAACAUUCUUAAGAACCAUUGUAGAAUUUGAAAAAUCUGAGAAAAGAUUUUUGUUUGUUUUGUUUUUUUUUUCAAGCUCGAAGAAGAGCUGGUUGGAAUUGUAGAGGUGAUUGGUAUGGUGUCCAACAAGGGAGAAAUAAUGGCAUCAAAUUACAACGUGCUGCGAGAGGAUAAAGGCAUCGCAUUUGACUUGGAGCUCUACAAUGAAGCACUGAAAGUUGUCCAUGAUUUCCCCCAGUACUACCCGUUCGAAGCAGCUUCAAGUGGAUAGCGUGCACAGUUGCUUUCACUCAAAUUGUUGUUUUUUUCUGUUGUUUUAAGAAAAUGUUCAAAUAUUUCUAUUGACACAUCUCUCAAAAAAAAUAAUAAAAAAAAGUCAAUUUA